ACAUCGAGACAAGCACUCGAG
rnacentral:misc_RNA from 1 species